AAGCAAUCCACAGAUUAAGUUAUCAAGGAAUGGCCAAUGUACCCUGUGUUGUGCUUACUACAGAUAUAUGGACCUCCAGGGCUACAGAGAGGUACUUAAUUAACAUACUUCUUCUGCUCAGUGUAGGCCUACAACACAAGAAGACUAGAACAGUGCUAAAUGGUGUAUAUAAUGAAGUGCUGCUCAUGGGUCCUUCACCACUCUGCCAGAGAGUCAGCUCUUUCAUACAGAGAACUCAGAGCGUCUGAACCCCACUGGAGGGCAGUAUUUAUCCACCAGGAGAUUGCAGUAGCACCUCACCUCACACUGAGGCUCUCUAAUGGCACAGAGCGGCUCCCACAACGUCACAGACACAGAGGGAUAGAGGUCUCCAUCAUCUUUGGGUUGGACUGGAGUGUGAACCCGCUGGGUGACGGACCCUGUCCUGCCUGCUGUCAGCCUGCCCCCUAAUGACCAGCUUCUCCCUGCUGGCCUGCAUCUUCAAACUCUGCUGCUUGUAGCUACACAGCCUCCUACGGGCCAGCGCCUUCGCAGGAAUAAAGCAGCACCGCCUCUUACUGGCCAGCACACUGGCAGGUAAACAGGUUCAUUGAUACGCUUUUUACAUUGAUAUGACACAUAUUAUUAGCAUUAGAAUUAGAACAUUUAUAUAAAUGGUGAAAAGCAUAGGAGACAGAAUGGAUACAUUGCUAUCCACAUGGAUACAUUGCUAUCUGUUUGUUAGGUGGUUCUUGAAAUGUGACCUAAGAAUCAGCCAUAUCAUCGUCCUACAGGAACAGGGCACCUGAAGUCAGUGAAUCUGUCCAAUGACGCCCUGUGCUCUACGGGAUUUGAGCUGGUCCUGAAAACUCUGUCUCUUCAAUGUCUCACUCAACUCGAUCUGUCUGCCAUCCACUGUGGAACCGCUGACCACCCUCCUUCAAAACAUCUGACGUUAGUACUCCUUUCCCAGAUGAACACACACACACACACACACACAUACAAAUGCACAAAUACAAAUGCACACACACACACAAAUUAAAAUAAAAUAAUAU
rnacentral:lncRNA from 1 species